UCGAACGAUGAACCACUUCGGUGGGGAUUAGUGGCGAACGGGUGAGUAACACGUGGGCAAUCUGCCCUUCACUCUGGGACAAGCCCUGGAAACGGGGUCUAAUACCGGAUAUCACUCCUGCAGGCAUCUGCGGGAGUCGAAAGCUCCGGCGGUGAAGGAUGAGCCCGCGGCCUAUCAGCUUGUUGGUGAGGUAGUGGCUCACCAAGGCGACGACGGGUAGCCGGCCUGAGAGGGCGACCGGCCACACUGGGACUGAGACACGGCCCAGACUCCUACGGGAGGCAGCAGUGGGGAAUAUUGCACAAUGGGCGAAAGCCUGAUGCAGCGACGCCGCGUGAGGGAUGACGGCCUUCGGGUUGUAAACCUCUUUCAGCAGGGAAGAAGCGAAAGUGACGGUACCUGCAGAAGAAGCGCCGGCUAACUACGUGCCAGCAGCCGCGGUAAUACGUAGGGCGCAAGCGUUGUCCGGAAUUAUUGGGCGUAAAGAGCUCGUAGGCGGCUUGUCACGUCGGGUGUGAAAGCCCGGGGCUUAACCCCGGGUCUGCAUUCGAUACGGGCUAGCUAGAGUGUGGUAGGGGAGAUCGGAAUUCCUGGUGUAGCGGUGAAAUGCGCAGAUAUCAGGAGGAACACCGGUGGCGAAGGCGGAUCUCUGGGCCAUUACUGACGCUGAGGAGCGAAAGCGUGGGGAGCGAACAGGAUUAGAUACCCUGGUAGUCCACGCCGUAAACGGUGGGAACUAGGUGUUGGCGACAUUCCACGUCGUCGGUGCCGCAGCUAACGCAUUAAGUUCC
rnacentral:rRNA from 1 species